rnacentral:ncRNA from 1 species
GUACCAUCCAGAGCGGCCGAGAGACCCGGCUCGACGACGCCGCAGCAACCCCCCGCGCCGGCGGGAGCGGGUGCUAACGCCGGGAUCGAUGGAGG